AGAGUUUGAUUAUGGCUCAGGAUAACGUUGGCUGUGUGCCUAAGGUAUGCAAGUCGAACGAUCCCUGGGUUAGUGGCAAACGGGUGAGUAACACGUGGAUAACCUGCCUUGAAGUCAUGAACAGCUCAUCGAAAGAUGGGAUAAUACAUGAUAUUACAUCUUCUUUAGAUCUUGUAAGUAAAGUUACGGCGCUUCAAGAGGGGUCCGCGUCCUAUCAGCUAGUUGGUGAGGUAAUAGCUCACCAAGGCUAAGACGGGUAGCUGGCGUGAGAGCGCGGUCAGCCACCAUGGAACUGAGACACGGUCCAUACUCCUACGGGAGGCAGCAAUUAGGAAUCUUGCGCAAUGGGGGCAACCCUGACGCAGCGACACAGCGUGGAGGAGGUUCGUUGACUCCUUUUAUAUGGGAUAGAACCAUAUGAAUAAGCACCUGCAACUACGUGCCAGAAGCAUCGGUAAUGCGUAGGGUGCAAACGUUAUCCGGAUUUAUUGGGUGUAUAGAGAGCGUAGGCGUUUUUGUAAGUCUUUAGUUAAAGACCACGGCUCAACCGUGGAAGAGCUUCGGAUACUGCAAAAAUUGAGACAGGAAGAGGCGAACAGAAUUUCCAGUGGAGCGGUGAAAUGCGUUGAUACUGGGAGGAAUAUCAGUGGCGAAGGCGGUUCGCUGGUCCUGCCUGACGCUAAGGCUCGAAAGCGUGGGUAGCAAAACGGAUUAGAUACCCGUGUAGUCCACGCUGUAAACUAUGGAUGCUAGGUGUUCGGUAUAAGUAUUGAGUGCCGCAGUUAACACGUUAAGCAUCCCACCUGGGAAGUACGGCCGCAAGGCUAAAACUCAAAUGAAUUGGCGGGGACCCGCACAAGCGGAGGAGCGCGUGGUUUAAUUCGACGGCAAUCGAAGAACCUUACCAGGGUCAUGAUCGCAUAUUCCCAGAAACGGGAAUUUCGGUGAUCAAGUGCUGCAUGGCCGUCGUCAGCUCGUGUCGUGAGAUGUAGGGUUAAGUCCCGAAACGAGCGCAACCCCUAUCUCAUGUUAUAUGUGUCUUGAGAAACUGCCUCGGUAACGGGGAGGAAGGUGGGGAUGACGUCUGGUCCGCAUAGCCCUUAUGUCCUGGGCUACACACGCGCUACAAUGGUAGGUACAAUGGGCAGCCAAACCGCAAGGUGGAGCUAUCCUAAAAACCUAUCUCAGUUCGGAUUGUGGGCUGAAACUCGCCCACAUGAAGUUGGAUUCGCUAGUAAUCGUGGAUCAGCCAUGCCGCGGUGAAUACGUUCUCGGGUCUUGCACACACCCCCGUC
rnacentral:rRNA from 1 species